rnacentral:rRNA from 1 species
GCUGGCGACCGGCGCACGGGUGAGUAACACGUAUCCAACCUGCCCUUUACUCGGGGAUAGCCUUUCGAAAGAAAGAUUAAUACCCGAUAGCAUAAUGAUUCCGCAUGGUUUCAUUAUUAAAGGAUUCCGGUAAAGGAUGGGGAUGCGUUCCAUUAGGUUGUUGGUGAGGUAACGGCUCACCAAGCCUUCGAUGGAUAGGGGUUCUGAGAGGAAGGUCCCCCACAUUGGAACUGAGACACGGUCCAAACUCCUACGGGGGAGGCAGCAGUGAGGAAUAUUGGUCAAUGGGCGYUAGCCUGAACCAGCCAAGUAGCGUGAAGGAUGAAGGCUCUAUGGGUCGUAAACUUCUUUUAUAUAAGAAUAAAGUGCAGUAUGUAUACUGUUUUGUAUGUAUUAUAUGAAUAAGGAUCGGCUAACUCCGUGCCAGCAGCCGCGGUAAUACGGAGGAUCCGAGCGUUAUCCGGAUUUAUUGGGUUUAAAGGGAGCGUAGGUGGACUGGUAAGUCAGUUGUGAAAGUUUGCGGCUCAACCGUAAAAUUGCAGUUGAUACUGUCAGUCUUGAGUACAGUAGAGGUGGGCGGAAUUCGUGGUGUAGCGGUGAAAUGCUUAGAUAUCACGAAGAACUCCGAUU